rnacentral:rRNA from 1 species
CCCUUAGAUGUUCGGGGCCGCACGCGCGCUACACUGAAGGACUCAGCGUGUCUCUCCCCCUAUCCCGAAAGGGAUGGGCAACCCGUUGAACUUCCUUCGUGCUAGGGAUUGGGGUUUGCAAUUAUCCCCCAUGAACGAGGAAUUCCCAGUAAGCGCGAGUCAUCAGCUCGCGUUGAUUACGUCCCUGCCCUUUGUACACACCGCCCGUCGCUACUACCGAUUGGAUGGUUUAGUGAGACCCUCGGAUCGGUCCCGACUCGGGGUGGGCUUCUGCCCCGGUCGUGGUUUCGCCGAGAAGACGGUCAAACUUGACUAUCUAGAGGAAGUAAAAGUCGUAACA